AUUGAAUAUUGGGGUGUCGGCCAAGUGCUUAGCCAGGAGCCUGUCUGCGGCAUGGCUCAGCCAGGCGGGAUGUGACAUUCCCUCGUGGUCAGUGAGGCAUGCUGUCCUGGCUAUGACGAUUGGGAGGAUGUGAAACUGAAGCUGGGUGCUGGCGAAUCAUGGAGGCAGCUGGGAACCUCAGUGUCUCAGGCUCAGUUCCUCAGCUGGGAAUGAGAAAAGGGUGUGGCUUAGGAGAGGGCCAGGCGUCUCAAGUGGCUAAAGAAUAAAUGCAUGAAAAUUAAGAGCCAGCUCUGCCUGCGAAAGAGAACAGGAGCAAGCUGGCUGUUGGCUGUCAUCUGGAGUCACCUACUGGGAAGUGCCGAAUCACCCCAGACCAAGGACAGGAAGGAGGCUUGUUUUCUUUCAGGUCUUCUGGUUGAGUGAGGAAGAGGUUUCAGUUUGGUGAUGGCAACGUCCUUAAGACUUCACUUGCUUCCCUCUCUCUGUUCUUUUGAGAGCGGGUCUCCACCAAGCAUUUUAGCAGGGUCUCACUCUGUCACCCCAGGCUGGAGUGCAGUGGCAGGAUGGCAGCUCACUGCAGCCUCGACCACCCUGGCUCAAGCUAUCCUCCCACCUCAGCCUAAGAGAAACUCUUGGAACGGAAAACCAAAUACCACAUAUCCUCAGUUAUAAGUGGGAGCUAAAUGAUGAGAACACGUGGACACAAAGAGGGGAACAGCAGACACCGAGGCCUACUUGAGGGUGGAAGUUGGGAGGAGGGAGAGGAGCAGAAAAGAUAACUUUUGGGUACUGGGCUUAAUACCCGGGUGAUGAAAUAAUCUGUACAACAAACCCCCAUGAGAUGAGUUUUCCUGUGUAACACCGAACCUAAAAUAAAAGCUAAAAAUAAAAUUAAGUUAAAAGA
rnacentral:lncRNA from 1 species